CCUACGGGGAGCAGCAGUGAGGAAUAUUGGUCAAUGGACGAGAGUCUGAACCAGCCAAGUAGCGUGAAGGAUGACUGCCCUAUGGGUUGUAAACUUCUUUUAUAAAGGAAUAAAACGAGGCACGUGUGCCUUUUUGCACGUACUUCAUGAAUAAGGAUCGGCUAACUCCGUGCCAGCAGCCGCGGUAAUACGGAGGAUCCGAGCGUUAUCCGGAUUUAUUGGGUUUAAAGGGAGCGUAGAUGGGUUGUUAAGUCAGUUGUGAAAGUUUGCGGCUCAACCGUAAAAUUGCAAUUGAUACUGGCAGUCUUGAGUACAGUUGAGGUAGGCGGAAUUCGUGGUGUAGCGGUGAAAUGCUUAGAUAUCACGAAGAACCCCGAUUGCGAAGGCAGCUUACUAAACUGUGACUGACAUUGAUGCUCGAAAGUGUGGGUAGCAAACAGGAUUAGAUACCCUGGUAGUC
rnacentral:rRNA from 1 species